CCUACGGGUGGCAGCAGUGAGGAAUAUUGGUCAAUGGACGAGAGUCUGAACCAGCGAAGUAGCGUGAAGGAUGACUGCCCUAUGUGCGUUAAACUUCUUUUAUAUGGGAAUAAAACAGGGUAUGCAUACACUCUUGUAUGUACCAUAUGAUUACGGAUCGGCUAAUUCUGCGCCAGAAGCCGCGGUAAUACGGAGGAGCCGAGCGUUAUCCGGAUUUAUUGGGUUUAAAGGGAGCGUAGGUGGAUGGUCAAGUCAGUUGUGAAAGUUUGCGGCUUAACCGUGAAAUUGCAGUUGAAACUGGCAGUCUUGAGUACAGUAGAGGUGAGCGGAAUUCGUGGUGUAGCGGUGAAAUGCUUAGAUAUCACGAAGAACUCCGAUUGCGAAGGCAGCUCACUGGACUGCAACUGACACUGAUGCUCGAAAGUGUGGGUAUCAAACAGGAUUAGAUACCCUUGUAGUC
rnacentral:rRNA from 1 species